CGCUAGAUGGCACAAUUGAAACACUACUGAGACAUGUCUACUGGAACUAAUGCCAUUGCGUGACUAGAUCACUUAAGCCAAAUCUCGCGAUAAACAUUUCCGCCAUUUUAUUUUACACGAGGCAGCUGUCGGAGAGCAACGGGUGAGCAACAGUCUGAGUGAAAACCUUCACAUUUCUACUUCGAUCUUAAGAAAGCCAUACAGGUUUGGAACCAAGUGAAAACGCAGUGAUGACCAGCUUUCCAUCAGCUAUGGAAUGUGAAAUAAAAAAUGCUAUUUCUAAUCAUUUCAAACAAGCACCAGGGAGGGCAGGGGGUGGGGGUUAUGGAUCUAAAGUAAACAGUUAAUUCUUAAAAAUUAAUUGUUUUACAUAUUUUUCCAAUGUUUUAUUUGUUCAUUUUUAUGUUUGAAUGU